CGAGGCAGGUGAAGCGCAGGGCGGGGAGUGGGAUUACACUGUCGGAGGCAUCCGACCAAAUCCGGUGGAGAUUCGGCCAACUUCUCCAUCCUGCAGUCGGGCAGGGGGCUGACGAACCAGUGCAGCCGAGGAAACAGCAGCCCUUUGCACUUGCUGGUACUACUUCCUGGUAUGCUCUUCAUCCCGAUCAUUGCUUGUCAUGUUCCCUCAUUUUAUUCAGAUGAGCACAUGCUGAGUCCCCACUCCACGGAGCCCGCAUGAACCUCUGGACCUCUGACCCACCUGCCCACUUCUUUCCUAAAUUUUGACUUCUGAAAAGAUCAACACAGCUAAACCACUUCAACCUGGCAGGGAGAGGCCCCUGCCUUGGCAUAUCCCUACCCACUGGAGCCCUGACUUAGCAGAAGUUCUCAUCAUGGGAGAUCCAGGAAAGUCUCUGAAAGAAGAUGCCGAGGUUCCCAGGAACACCUUUCCUGAGUCUGUGCUAUGAUUAGGGCAUCUUUGUUUUAUGCAUCUACGUGAAGCAGACAUUUUUGGCAAUGCCUUUAUUCUACAGAACGCCAGCUAGGUCUAGGGCUAAGAAAAGCACCACGUUUAUAUGCCCACAAAUUUUCUCAAUCAUGAGCAAAUUAUUUGCUCCUCGCCCCAUGAAAAAAAUGAACUUUCUCUUUUGAGAGUUUGGAGAAAAUAAAAAAGAGAAAUUAACCAAUCAAAGAGAGCUUGGACAAUAAAGUGAACAAAGACAUUUGCUUUCCAAAAGCGUGUUUAAAUAUUUUAUCUAGAAAAAUCUUCCCCAAGUUAUAAAUAGCGCCUAGCUAUCAGUUCCAGCAUCAACCUCAGAGAAGUGCUUCCAGCUUUAUGACUGAGUUUGUGUGCCUGUGGCCAAAUGGAUUUGGAAUGGAAACUUUUUUUUUUUGUCAUCUGGCUUAUUGUUGUUUCCUUCUGUGGCCACGUAUUUGUCUGGGCCAUGGGAUUACUCAAUCAAUCAAAUAUUUAUUGAGUAACCAGACAACCAAUGGAAAAACUAGACUUGGAUCAUAUUGUACAGAUCAUACUAUCUGUCUUAAAGUCUUAAGGCAGUUGUGCUCACUAAUGGUCAUCUCUUUUUUUUGGAGCUUAGAAAAGGAUCCAUUUGGAAAAAGAGAAGUCUCCAUGCAGAAGCAAAUACAUUCCUAUGACUUUUGGCAAACAAAAUAUUCGCAAAUUCCGUCGCCCCGUUCUAAUAUCUAUUUAUAAAUGUUUCUCUCCAUUCUAGAGGUUUUCUCUGUAAUAUGUGGACCAUGCCAUGACAUCCUUUAAAGCUGGAAGUUUUGAGAAUUAAAUUCUGGUUUCCUUAAUUUACUAUAGGAAUACGUCCCUAGAGACUGUAAGUCCAACAUAAAUGAUGUGUGUGUCGGAAGGCGAGUAUAUACACCCUUAUGUUUUUUGCUAAAUGGGUGUAGAGUCACGAGUGCUAUUUAUCAGUAUUUCCGCGUCUCCUCUUUUUCGGGACGUGAAAAGAUGUCAGUCGUCUGCCCACUUGAAGUUAGGGUGGUAGGCCAGCUGACUGCUUCGGCCAGUGAAAUGUGAGCAAAACUGAGAGGUGCCCCUUUUGGGUAGGUGGUCAACUUCUCAUGUUCCCUUCCAUCUUCCAUGAUAGUUGGUAAUGUUCUAGCCGGUAGAGAUUUUAUCAGCAUGCAUCCAGAGGAGAGAAUAAAAUAAAGAAGGGUCCCGCACUGACCUGAAAUGGACAUGUAGCAAGAGAGGGAAAUAAUGUAUUCUAGGCCACUGAAAUAUCAGGGUUGUUUUUCCUCUAGCAUAGCUUUGCAUAUGCUGAAUAAUACAAAAAUCGGUCUAUAGAAGUGGGCCACUGCUAUAGCAAAGACCUAAAACAAAUGACCUAAGGGCCAGGUAGGGGGUGGCAAGGACACUAUGCCUGCAGUAAUUUGGGACGUACAUUUUACUCCUGCAGCAGGGACCAGUGAAAACCCAACCCUGCAUCAGGGGACCCAUGAAGGGUAUGGCCAUCAUACUCCUUGUUAACACCCGUCGAUGAAUUAAGGUGUCUUUGAGCAAAGUUCCAUUAAUGGUGUGGGGUCCAAAAAAUCUUCUCACUUGCACAGAAUGGCUUGGGGAAAAGAGACAAAGUACAUACUCAGCUCUCUCAUUGAAGCCUGAUGGCCUCGGGGAGUUGAAAUUAAACUGAUAAACAGAGUCAUGGGAGCAAAAAAGCAAAGAAAUACAGUAAACACGAGAAUUCUGUCUCAAAAAGAACUGUGGCUAUUGCCAUGUGGAGCUGAUGGGAAGACGAUACAUGAGAAGCUGUUUUUGACAAAAGAAGUAUUAAUCAGGGGUACCUGGGUGGCUCAGUCGGUUGAGCGUCCAACUUCGGCUCAGGUCAUGAUCUCACAGUUUGUUGGUUCAAGCCCUGCAUCAGGCUCUGUGCUGACCACUCGCUCAGAGCCUGGAGCCUGCUUUGGAUUAUGUGUCUCCUCUCUCUGCCUCUCCCCCACUCACGCUUUGUCUCACUCUGUUUCUCAAAAAUAAAUAAAUGUAAAAAAAAAAUUUUUUAAAAGAAGUAUUAAUCAGCCUGGACAAAGCAGGUGGUGGUUAUUUAAGACUAUGACUUUGAGGGGCACCUGGGUGGCUCAGUCAGUUGAGCGUCUAUUUUGACUCAGGUCAUGAUCUCAUGGUUUGUGAGUUUGAACCCCACGUUGGGCUGUGUGCUGACAGCCUGGAGCCUGCUUAAGAUUCUCUCUCCCUCUCUCUCUUUGCCCCUCCCUCGCACACGUGUGUGUGUGUGUGUGUGUGUGUGUGUGUGUGUGCUCUCUCUCAAAAUAAACACACUUAAAAAAAAGAACAUGACUUUGGGUCUGUAAUCAACUAAAAGCAGGAAGUGGGCUGAGAGAGCUGCUCUUCCCAGGGAGGACGUAUUAUCGGCGCCCACUUCAAAUGCGGCCAGAGAAGAACGAAAAAGGAAAACUUUCAGAAGUUGUAGCCAGACUUCAGGAGGACGACUGGCCGAGACACCUUUUCCCAGGAAGCAAUAGGGGAACACAAUCGAGGAACUUGCCCUCACCCUGGGAAGAGCCCUCAAAUGUGCCUGCCCCGUGGGCGUUAGAAUUGCUGUGGACCAGUGUCCCCCACUGCCUCUCUCGUCCACGCUAUGUGUGAAUGGAGGCACUUAACUGUAGUUCACGUGUACUUGUUCUAUCGUUGAAGGGUGGUUGUGGGGAGGGCAGAAAACUUGACUUUCUCCUUCGUGGGUCCCUGAAGCAGAAGGCACCAUAUCCAGACCUGUUGUAAAAAUGGCUCUGCAUCUCCCCAAGUCCUGGGUGUAGAACCAAAAGCCACGUCGGGAUGAAACUUGCUGUCGGUAUUCCUUGGAGGAAGAGACGGGUGUAUUUUACAGAAAGAAAAGUGAGCUGAGUGUCCAGUAGCAAAAAAGGGCAGACUUUAGCAGCCGUUGGGAUUGUUCGAUAUUUCUUGUUUUUUCUCUUUCUAAGCUUAAAAGGAAUACAGCCAUCUUGCCACCUUGACGUUCAGCAGGCCGUGUGACUUGCUCUGGCCCAUGAAACACAAACGAAAUGAUCUGCGUCGUUUUCAGGCAGAAGACUUUCAGACGCAGUAUUUGACUUGCUUUUUUCCCUUUCCCCUGCCAUGGCAACCAGCGAAGUUCCAGAAGGUGGAGGCUCUGGAAGCCUCGGUUCCCAAGUGAGGACAACACAGAGUAGAGAGUCUUGCCCACCCAACAUGGACAUACGGCACCAAUGAAAAAUAAAUCUUCAUGUUUGUUACUGCAGUAUAAUUUAGCUGAGGUUGACUAAUACAGGUGAACAUGUUUAAAUUGAAUAUUAAAAUCUGAAAAGACUGGGGCGUCUGGGUGGUUCAGUCGAUUGAGCGUCCGACUUUGGCUCAGGUCAUGAUCUUGGGGUCUGUGAGUUCAAGCUCCGCGUCGGGCUCCGUGCUGACAGCUCGGAGCCUGGAGCCUGUUUCGGAUUCUGUGUCUCCCUCUCUCUCUGCUUCUCCCCGGCUUGUGCUCUAUCUCUCUCAAAAAUAAACAUUAAAAAAAUUUUUAAUCUGAAAAGGCUUUCCUCAUGGAUAAAAGCCAGUGUCCCUUCACAGGUAAACUUGCUUUUUACUGAGCACUUAUGCUUGUUGGUUCUCAUAUAUUUCUGUUGAGAUUUUUAGUGAAACAAAUGAUCUACUGUUUUAAAGCACCUCCUUAUAAGAAUACCAUAGAUUCAGUUAUACAUGCCCUGUCGGGUAACAUGUUUUUUGCUAAUUUCUUUUUUUUUUUUAAGUUUAUUUGUUUUUGAGAGAGAGAGAGAGAGAGUGAGCAAGGGAGGGGCAGAGAGAGAGAGGGAGAGAGAGAAUCCUAAGUAGGCACCAUGCUAUCAGUGCAGAGCCCGACGCGAGGCUCAGUCCCACAAACCGUGAGAUCAUGACCUGAGCCGAAAUCAAGAGUCGGAUGCUUAACGGACUGAGCCCCCACCCAGGCACCCCAAAUUUCUUGACACUUGUAUUAUGUCAGUAUUUAAUAAUAUAUUCAAUUUUACUUGUUUAAAAUUCACCUGUUCACAAUAUGGUACAUGAUAUAUAUUUAAAAAAAUUUUUUUUAACGUUUAUUUAUUUUUGAGGGAAAGAGACAGAGCGUGAGUAGGAGAGGGACAGAGACAGAGAGGGAGACACAGAAUCUGAAGCAGGCUCCAGCCUCUGAGCUGUCAGCUCAGAGCCCCAUGCGGGGCUCGAACCCAUGAGUGGAGAGAUCAUGACCUGAGCUGAAGUCGGACGCUCAACCGACUGAGCCACCCAGGCGCCCCCCCACGAUAUUUUUAAACAUAUGAAAGAGACAUUUGUUUUCCCAUAUUUAUAGGAAGACGAGAGCUGCCCUUGAAGCAUCUGAUACGGAUGAAAUUAAUACCUGCUGCACAUCCAAUCAGCUCUCGGCCUUGGGUUACAAAGUUGUCACUGGUUGGUAACGGCAAGUAUACAGACUCAUCUAGGGAAAAAAAUCUUUUUCCGACUGUAAGGAUGGGUGCCCAGUGUCUAUCGUAUGCGUGAUUUUGCAAACGAUACGAAAACAUUCUUCAAAUGAAUACCUCAUUUCUCUUUAUCCAAAGUCGGACUCAUCACAUUUACUUCUGUGUGAGCUUAUCUGUGGGAAGUUAAGAUACCGGCCUUCAGGUUUGUGGCUGGCUGGUGAUCUAAUUUACUUCCGGGAUAUGGCUUACAGAACCUAGAGAAAUGGACAAUUAACGUAUUUCCUUCAAAUCCCAGGUGUUUACAGCGAACUUCUCUGACAAACGCCUGAAGUGUGUGCAUCUUCUCUGUUUCCUCCUCUCUUGUGAAUAUUGUCUCUGCAGCUUGGAACGACCCCUUCUCCAACAGUCAGAAUCCUUCCUGUCGUCAUAGGUCCGGCUCCAACGCUAAUUCUUCACCCAACGGUUGACAGAGGCAGUAAUGAAAAUGAUAGAUUACAUUUUUAACUAGAAGUCAGUAUUAUUUAGGUUCCCAUGUGCCAGGUGCUGGGCAAAUGCUUUGGGUGAUUAUCUCAUUUAAUUCUUAUUAUAAGCUUAUGUCUUGGAACUGUUAUUAUCCGCAUUAGUCAUUCUUUGGCUCAGAAUUCCAUAAUUAUAGCAAUGCUCUAUCAUGCCUUUGCAACAGACAUACCUGGGUUUGAUUCCUAGCCCUAAAACUCACUAGACUAGCUGUGUGACCUUGAACGCAUUAUUUAACUUUUCUAAACCUACCUGUACGAGAAUGAAAAUAGCUAACAAGUCACGAGCGUGCCUGUGGUCCUGCAAUGCUCCUUCCUCCACACGCCAGGGUGCCCAGUGCCUCCCUUUUGUUUUAAAUCCCGUGUCAUCUUGGUUCUUGGCUUACUCUUUUAUUUCGGUGGAACACAUGUUCCAGAUGCUUUCCGAGAAAGUAAACAUGAGCCAGAAGCCUGUGUUCGGGAGACCUCACGUGUCUGCUGUUUUAUUUAUUUGAAUGCUUCUUUAAGAGGCACUUAGAGCCUCCUCUUUCCGACCUCUUCACGGUUCAUCCAUGUUAAUCAGCUUGUUUCUGGAUUUUUCUACCAACUUAGGCUGAUUUUCUUUGGUUCAUCAAGUGCAGCACUAUUUAUCUGAGUGCUUUGCUGCCUUCUGAGACUGUGCGUGUGGCUGUUCUCUCUCCAUAGUCUCUUUGUCCUGUGGGUUUAUGCUUCUUUUUACAUCUCUUUAUUGUAAUGCAGUGCUGUUGGGGUUUUAGCAGGAACACAGAUACCCACAAAUAUUCCACCCACUAUCUUGGACCAGAAGUAAGGACUGUCAUUAUCUUCACAUGAAAAUUGGGAAGCGUGACUGGUGUUCUCAUCCAUCCAGAGGGUUACCUCUUUUAUUUAAAGGAAGAGUUGGGGUGGGAAGUUAAGGAUUUCCAUGUGGGACAAGUUGAUGUUAAAGUUCCCAAGGGACAUUCAGAUUGAGAUUUCUCAGAGACCUUUGGAUAGAAGAGCCUGGAGCUCAGGAGAGAGUUCCAGGUUAGAUAAGGAUGUAUGCAGGCUUCAGGAGGGAGGGGACAGUGAGAACGUGUGGGGACAGCAGUGGAUGGAGGACAGAAUAUCAGUAAGCGUCAAACAGAUGACAGCAUUUUGUAAGGAUUAGAUUAUGACCCAGGCUCUUGUUUUGUUUUGCUACUCCCCAAUUUCUGAGAUUAAAAAAAAAAAUCUUUUA